CCUUCAUUUGCAGCGUGGUAGAUGCGGAACGAUCCAGCAUGGCGUUUCAUAUACUGUCUAUGGUUUUCACAUGUGAUGCAUUUAUAUCUAAUUAUGGAGUUAACUGCAGAUGAGCCGCCAUGAACAGGCAGCUUUGGCUGAUGUGGAAUUCGGCUCACUUCAUCGUAUCGUCAGGGAGAGCUACCUAGCCCCCAAAAAGCUCCCCCCGUCUGGAGCCAGGCCCAGAGGGAAGGCUCGUCGGCGAGCCCCUGUUAGCCGGGUUUGACACGGAGCCCGCCGGGCACAGCACAAGCGACGUGCUUCCAUCCUAUGGGCCCACCACUCGUGGAUGAACCACUGGGCUCUGGUGAGCUGCCACACUGGUGGCCGUGAAGGCCCAGGGGCCCUCGAAGGACCGGACUAGGGGCGGUAGAGGCUGGGCCUGGGGACGUGCAACGUCUUUCAUCGUAAUGAAAGGAACAUGGUUCUUCUGUCCCACUUGGCAUUGAUGGAAAAUGAGGAGGCCUGGUGAAAAGGUUUUAACAAUCUGCAGAGCAAGACCUUGAAGACCCAUGGGUGCUGAGAAAAGUUCUACAGAUGAAAUCGAUGAUUAAGCAGAUACACCCGUCUGGGAUUGAUUCAGAAGUCUGUCACAGUAUAUGGAAUGCAGUAAUUUGUUUGCAUUAAAAAUAAACACAUUUGAUCUGAAACAUGUUUAAUAAGAUGUAUAAAAACAAGCAUUAUGGCACAAAGUGACAAAUCUUACUAGUUCAAUCUGUGUUGAAGGGAGACUUGUAAGAUUUCUUCUUCAAAUUCUCUAAAAAGAUCUGCUCAUCUCGGAGGUAUUCACGGUCCUGUGUAGAGAAAGUAAUAUUAACAGAAGGUAACAGAAUAAUUACCUUUUCAUAGUUGGCUAAAUUAAUCUGUGUGUGAUUAACAUGUAGUAGUUUGCCUGUUUAGAAAUGUAUUGAGCUGUGAGUCCUCAGAAGACCCAGGACUAGGUGGAGAGAGAUCAUCCCCACACUGGCCUGGGAACGCCCAGUCACAGCAAAGUUAAGGUGUUGAAGAUUAAUUUUAUAUUGACAAAUUUAAAAACUUACAGUAACUGUUCUUUGGAAUUUAAGGAAUCUGAAGUCAAAAUCAAUACAACUCAUGAGCAGUUAACUGUUUGCAGUGGUUUUAUUAUCAAUAGUGUGAUGGAUUCAGCAAAGGUUUUAGAACCACUGGGACAUGAGCUAAAUCUAGGGCUGUCAAACUACUUCAAAAAAAUUUAAGUUCUACAGUUAAUUGCAUGAUUAAAAUCUCAGCAUUUCAGAACUGUUUACAUAACAAUGGAAAACUAUUCUUACGAGUAUCUUCAUCAUGAAUGCAUAGAAAGUGACAACUUUAUUUUAAGAUUUGUAUUUACUGUAAAAAGUGUGAAUCUAGUCACAUUCAAAUCUUGAGUCAAUAUAGUGUGCAGUAACUCAAAUUAUAAUUACUGAUGUCCAGUGAUCACCUUGCAUCACUUUACAGCGGUUCUAUUUUGGCUGCUUUCUUCAUGUUGUACAGGCCACCCAUUUCGCAAGAGUGGUAGUCAUUUUUUUGCAGGUCAGCAACUACCACUCUCCAAAAUAGUGCUUUGCUUGAGCCUGCUAGCAUCAACCUGAGUCACGUUAACUGUAGUACUAUGCUUAGCUUGUAGGUGUUGGCUCAAGCUUGACGUGCUUCGGUGAUAUUUUAAUUUGGCUUUACACGAUGUGCAUGUGGCUUUCAACCCGUCCGGGAGUUUUAGAAAAUAAAAAGGGCCAUUCAUAA